rfam:Oryza meridionalis cultivar OR44 (W2112) chromosome 5, whole genome shotgun sequence.
UCUAUGUGUUCUAGACAUGAGUUUCAGUGUUCAACUUUGAUCAUCCAUCUUAUUUAAAAUUUUUCUAUGAUUAGCAUAUUAUUAUUAUUAGAUUAUAAAAUAUGAAUACUUAUGUUUUUUACUUUUUUAAAAAAUUCAAAUAAGAUAGACGAUUAAAGUUGUGCACAGAAAUUGAUGACUAUAUUUAUU